rnacentral:sRNA from 1 species
GGAGGCCGGAGGGCAAAAUUGGGGCUUACUCUGCUCUGGCGACCCAGAACCGUCAACUGAAAUGACCGUGUCUGUGUAGUACUCCGGCAGGAUGGGCCUCGGAGCGUAAAGGCGGCAAAAAAAAAAAAAAAAGGAGAGAGAGACAAAAAAAAGAAAACCUGAAAAUUUCAGCUGCACUGCUGCGGAACGUUUUUUAGGCAGAAGGCGAAAGAAGAAAUCGGAAGUGACGUCGCGGCCAAAACAAGCCCGGGGUUGGAGGCCUUUACUGAAGCUGGUCUCAGAUGGGAAGGCCCGACUCGCUGUCUGCUGUCGUCGGUGGUCGCGAGACUCUGCACUCUCACCGGGUCGGCUUCCAGCCCCUGUGCCCGGGAUCCGCUCGCCGCGGAUGAGCGAGAGUUUCUUCCUGGGACUUUUCGGGCACAGCUGGCCGGUGGCGACAGAACGGACUUUCUUUCCUACAGGAGUCUCCCCUCCAGCGGGCUCCUGUCUCGGGACGCUGGGACACCUGUCGCCUAUUUUUAAAUAUCCAGAUUCCAAGAAUACAUUGGAUACUGCUCUUACAAAACCAAGAGGAAAUCGUGAAGAAAUGUUUUAAUUAUUGAAACUACAGUGGAAAUCAUGGCUACAUCAACAAAUCUGGAUAUUGGAGCCCAGCUUAUAUUGGAAGAAUGUCCCAGCACUUAUAGCCUAACUGGCAUGCCAGACAUUAAAAUAGAACAUCCACUGGACCCAAAUUCAGAAGAAGGGUCAGCUCAGAGUGUUGCCAUGGGAAUGAAAUUCAUAUUGCCUAACCGAUUUGAUAUGAAUGUGUGUUCUCGAUUUGUGAAGUCCUUAAAUGAAGAAGAUAGUAAAAAUAUUCAAGAUCAGGUUAACUCUGACCUGGAGGUGGCAUCUGUCCUAUUUAAAGCUGAAUGCAAUAUCCAUACAUCUCCUUCUCCGGGAAUUCAAGUAAGGCAUGUCUACACCCCCUCUACAACAAAGCAUUUCUCACCCAUAAAACAGUCAACUACUUUAACCAACAAACACAGAGGAAAUGAGGUCUCUACCACACCUCUGUUAGCAAAUUCUUUGUCUGUUCACCAGUUGGCUGCUCAGGGAGAGAUGCUCUAUCUGGCCACUCGUAUCGAACAAGGUAAUAGCCUAUUUAAAAAUAUUUAAACAAAUUCAAUAGGAUUUAUUAGAUUUGUUAUUGUUUUAUUUUAAUAUAAGAAAGUCUAAAGACAAAAACAAAUAGUUACAUAAACUCACCAAGUAGAUAACCCAAUGGAUAGUAAA